rnacentral:rRNA from 1 species
CAGUUACUUACACAUAUGUUCUUCCCUAAUAACAGAGUUUUACGAUCCGAAGACCUUCAUCACUCACGCGGCGUUGCUCCGUCAGGCUUUCGCCCAUUGCGGAAGAUUCCCUACUGCUGCCUCCCGUAGGAGUCUGGACCGUGUCUCAGUUCCAGUGUGGCCGAUCACCCUCUCAGGUCGGCUAUGCAUCGUUGCCUUGGUAAGCCGUUACCUUACCAACUAGCUAAUGCAGCGCGGAUCCAUCUAUAAGUGACAGCAAGACCGUCUUUCACUUUUGAACCAUGCGGUUCAAAAUAUUAUCCGGUAUUAGCUCCGGUUUCCCGAAGUUAUCCCAGUCUUAUAGGUAGGUUAUCCACGUGUUACUCACCCGUCCGCCGCUAACAUCAGAGAAGCAAGCUUCUCGUCCGUUCGCUCGACUUGCAUGUAUUAGGCACGCCGCCAGCGUUCAUCCUGAGCCAGGAUCAAAC